rnacentral:lncRNA from 1 species
AAUCCAGUCAGCAUCUUGAAGAGCUUCCUCCACCUUUUUAGGUUCUGUUUGUGACAGAAAGCAAUGAUGUAAACACUCAUUUGCUGUAGCUGUCCUUGUUUGCACACCUGCUUCUGGAUCUCCAAUUAUUAAAUCAGGUGUGUGAGAUUUUGUCCACUUCCUAGCAUGUGGAAGUUGACUAUUUUCAUCAUUGGAUCCUCCCCCUUGAUCCAUGCUCUCCUGAUUCUGUUGAUUAUUCUCUGUAGCUCCCCCUGCAUUUGUGCUAUCAGAGUUUGAAUCAGUAUUCUCUGAUGAGUUUAAGUUUGCAUUCUCUGAUGAGUCUUGGGUAGAGUCUGAAACAUUCUGAUGCUCCCCCUCAGCAAGUGCUUCAUCAUCAUGAACUUGUAAAUUUUCA